rnacentral:lncRNA from 1 species
AGUCCGCAGUGGUGCCUCCUCCUCAACCACCAGCCUUCCAGGGGACUCCUUCAGCACUGCAGUCCCCAGUGGUGCCUCUUCCUCAGCCACCAGCCCUCCAGUGGACUCCACCACCUCUCCAGUUCAUAGUAGCACCUCGUUCCCAGCCACCAGCCCUCCAGGAGACUCCACCAGCACUGCAGUCCUCAGUGGUGACUCAGAUCCAGCCACCAGCCCUCCAGGGGACUCCUCCAGCACUGCAGUCCCCAAUGGUGCCUCUUCCUCAGCCACCAGCCCUCCAGUGGACUCCACCACCUCCCCAGUUCAUAGUAGCACCUCGUUCCCAGCCACCAGCUCUCCAGGGGACUCCACCAGCACUGCAGUCACCAGUGGCACCUCUUCCUCAGCCACCAGCCCUCCAGAGGACUCCUCCAGCACUGCAGUCACCAGUGGCACCUCGUCCCCAGCCACCAGCCCUCCAGGGGACUCCUCCAGCACUGCAGUCACCAGUGGCACCUCGUCCCCAGCCACCAGCCCUAUAUUGGACUCCUCCAGCACUGCAGUCCUCAGUGGCACCUCGUCCCCAGCCACCAGCCCUCCAGAGGACUCCACCAGCACUGCAGUCACCAGUGGCACCUCGUCCCCAGCCACCAGCCCUCCAGAGGACUCCACCAGCACUGCAGUCACCAGUGGCACCUCGUCCCCAGCCACCAGCCCUAUAUUGGACUCCUCCAGCACUGCAAUCCACAGUGGCACCUCGUCCCCAGCCACCAGCCCUCCAGGGGACUCCUCCAGCACUGCAGUCCUCAGCGGUGCUUCCACCCAAACCACCAAGGCUGUAUCAGACUUAGCUAGCACUCCAACCCACAAUGGCAUCAUGGUCCCAACUACCUGGUCUGCAUUGAGCUCAGCCACCAGUCCGGUGUACAGUGGUUCCUCAGCUACAACUAAUAGCUCUGAAUCAGACAUGGCCACCACUCCAGUGUACAGUGGCACCCCAUUCUCUUCUACCACGGCUACGUCAGCUAUCACCCCAGACCACAAUGGCUCCUUGGUGCGAACUACCAGUUCUGUGUUGGGCUUAGCUCCGCAAUGACACUCAGUCUUCAGUUCCAAGUCAGCAGCCCAUCUCUCCCACCAUCCCCGCCAUCUCCAGCCACAGUACUGUUAGCAGCAGCUCUUACUACAGCACAGCGGUCUUCCCUACCUUCUCCAGUAACAGCUCACCCCAGUUGUCUGUCGGGGUCUCCUUCUUCUCGUUGUCUUUUUACAUUCGGAACCACCCAUUUAAUUCUUCCCUGGAAGACCCCAGCUCCCGCUACUACCAAGAACUGAAGAGGAACAUUUCCGGAUUGUUUCUGCAGGUUUUUAACGGAGACUUUCUGGGGGUCUCUACUAUCAAGUUCAGGUCAGGCUCGGUGGUGGUAGCAUCGACUGUGAUUUUCCGGGAGGGCACUUUCAGUGCCUCUGAAGUGAAGUCACAGCUCGUACAACAUAAGAAGGAGGCAGCUGACUAUAAUCUGACUAUCUCGGAAGUCAAUGUGAAUGAGAUGCAGUUCCCUUCCUCUGCCCAGUCUUGGCCUGGGGUACCAGGUUGGGGCAUUGCCCUGCUGGUACUGGUCUGUAUUUUGGUGGCUUUGGUCAUCGUCUAUCUCAUUGCCCUGGCAUUGUGCCAGUGCCGCAGAAAGAGCUAUGGGCAGCUGGACCUCUUUCCAACCCGGGACACCUACCAUCCUAUGAGUGAAUAUCCUACCUACCACACUCACGGACGCUAUGUGCCCCCUGCCACUACCAAACGUAGCCCCUAUGAAGAGGUUUCGACAGGCAAUGGCAGUAGCGGUCUCUCUUACACCAACCCGGCUGUGGCAACCACUUCGGCCAACUUGUAGGAGCAAGUCACCCUACCCACUCGGGCAGUGGCAGUUGGCUCCAGCAGUCCACUCCCUCAGUGGUCGCUGCCAGACCCCUGCACUCUGAUCUGGGCUGGUGAGCCAGGACUCCUGAUAGGCUGAUCACAGCCUUCCUCAGAGGCUUUGUCACCACGUUAGCCUGGUGAAGCCCAGCCCUGCCCUGAGGGACACUGGGGUAGUGGUGGUUCUCAGAAGGACUGGCCUAGAAAACCUGGAGAUGGGACCCAAAUGUGGCUGAAUAAAAGAUGGCUUCCUGUUAGUUAUGCC